CUUGGUGCCGCUGCAGACCAACAGUGGGGUAGUCGACGCUGAUGAGCCACCGGUGGGAGAAGAUUCACCUACACCAGAGCCAGCUCCACCAGUCCCAGCUCCACCACUG